ACACGGGGGUUGCGAGCGUUGUCCGGAAUUACUAGGCGUAAAGGGCAGGUAGGCGGAUCUACGAGUUUUUUGUUAAAGGCUACGGCUCAACUGUAGUAGAGCAGGAGAUACUGUAGGUCUGGAAUGCGGUAGGGGAAGACAGAAUUCCUGGUGUAGCGGUGGAAUGCGCAGAGAUCAGGAGGAAUACCGAAGGCGAAGGCAGUCUUCUAGGCCGUAAUUGACGCUUAACUGCGAAGGUGUGGGGAUCAAACAGGAUUAGAUACCCUGGUAGUCCACACAGUAAACGAUAAUCACUAGAUGUCGGGUUCUAGAUGGAUUCGGUGUCGGAGCUAACGCGAUAAGUGAUUCGCCUGGGGAGUACGAUCGCAAGGUUGAA
rnacentral:rRNA from 1 species